rnacentral:rRNA from 1 species
UACGAAGGGGGCUAGCGUUGCUCGGAAUCACUGGGCGUAAAGGGUGCGUAGGCGGGUCUUUAAGUCAGGGGUGAAAUCCUGGAGCUCAACUCCAGAACUGCCUUUGAUACUGAAGAUCUUGAGUUCGGGAGAGGUGAGUGGAACUGCGAGUGUAGAGGUGAAAUUCGUAGAUAUUCGCAAGAACACCAGUGGCGAAGGCGGCUCAUUGGCCCGAUACUGACGCUGAGGCACGAAAGCGUGGGGAGCAAACAGG